CAUAUAUAUUUAGGAUAGUUAGCUCUUCUUUCUGAAUUGAUCCCUUUACCAUUAUGUAAUAGCCUUCUUUGUCUCUUUUGAUCUUUGUUGGUUUAAAGUCUGUUUUAUCAGAAACUAGGAUUGCAACCCCUGCCUUUUUUUGAUUUUCAUUUGCUUGGUGGUUCUUCCUCCAUUCCUUUAUUUUGAGCCUAUUUGUGUCUCUGCCAAUGAGAUGGGUCUCCUGAAUACAGCUCACUGAUGGGUCUUGACUCUUUAUCCAAUUUGCCAGUCUGUGUCUUUUAAUUAGAGCAUUUAGCCCAUUUACAUUUAAGGUUAAUAUUGUUACCUGUGAAUUUGAGCCUGUCAUUAUGAUGUUAGCUGGUUAUUUUGCUCAUUAGUUGAUGCAGUUUCUUCCUAGCCUCAAUGGUCUUUACAAUUUGGCAUGUUUUUGCAGUGGCUCGUACUGGUUGUUCCUUUCCAUGUUUAGUGCUUCCUUCAAAAAUUGAAAUGUAUUAGGAAAGAUAAACUAUCUUCGCAAACAUCCAAUAAGAAUGGUUGGGUGUAUUUAAAUUAAGAUUCAAGAAAAUGAACAGCAGUGUGGCAAAAAUAAAUGUUAUGUUUUGCUUUAUUAAAUAUUUUUAAAUUACAUUAUAAAUCACACAGAAAAGUGUACAAAACAUAAAUGUCCUGCUGGAUGCAUUAACGCAAAGUGAAUAUACCUGUGGAACUAGGCAGAACAUUACCAGUUGCCCAGAAUCUCAACUCAUGCCCCUGUUAAUCAUUAACCCCUCCCAUCUCAAAGAUGAAUAUCUCCCUGACUUCUAGUGGUAGAGAUUAACUUACUUGUUUUGAAAAUUAUAUGAGUACAAUCAUGCAAUGUGUAUUGUUUUAUGUCUGCCUUCUCUCACUCAGUAGCAUGUCUUCUGUGAGUAUCUUCCAUAUAGAUGCAUAAAAGGGUAGCGGUUUUUUUUUUUUUUUUUGAUAGGGGCAGAGUAGCCCCAUAGGUAAAGCAUCACAUGUAGGUAGGAAUUCUGCUCUUAGUCAAUAUUUGAAUUGUUUACUACAUUGACUUUUAUAAAUAAUGCAGCAAUGAUUAUAUUUUUACAUAUUUUUGGUAUACAUACUUACUGCAUUUUUGUUGAGUGUAUUCAUCGAACAGUGUGUUGUUUUUUUCCUAAGUUAUUGUCCCACAAGCAAAAUGUUUUUACUCUGUAAUAAAAUUACAUUUUUAAAACUAUGGUAAACUAUAGAUAAAAGAUUUGAUUAGUUACUAUGGAUUACACUCCAAAGGGUGUAACAUUGUGAAGAGGUAACAGUCACAAGGGUCUCUAUCUCCAAUGUCACUUGGUCUAUGUUUGAGUAAAGAAUAAGGUGCAUGGUUAAGGUAUAACAUCUCAACACAAAGGUCAAGAAGCAAAAGUCAUGCAGCAGAAAAAAAAAAAAAACAGCUGUGUCAUAUAACUCCAGGGCUUAACAAUUUCCAGGGCUUAACUUUUCCCCUUGGCAUAAUAAAUUUGAAAAGUCCUAAAAUUUUCUUUUCUUUUCAUAAACUCAUUAAAAGUUCACAGUUACUCUAAUCAUGAAAUAGUUAAAUGAGGUGCUCUUUGUGACAAAGUGGAUGCAAUUUUAUCCUAGGAGAUGAGAGCUUCUGUUCAUCUUUAUCCUCUUAAGUCCCUUUGGUCUUUUUAAUCCACUUAACACUGUUCAGGUAAAUUGAUCAUGAAGCAUCAUAAACGACAGAAAGAGGUGUGCUUUUGUUUUCUAUUCCUCACCAUUUUCUGAUUGUUUCUCAUCCAUUAAAAAAGUUAUAUUGGAAGAGUAUAGAUAAAUUCAAUGAACUCAUUUAUCCCUAAGUGACAGACAGAAGAGCAGGACUGUAUUUACUAUUAGCUCACCUAUUUUUAUCAAAUAAUAUAUUUACUAAAUCAAAUAAUUACUUGGAUUCUAUCUGUUUAUGUAUACAAAAUGAGCUCUCAUUGAUUGCAUAUUUUAAAAUAACAAAUUUAAAUACAUAACAAAGUCAUGAAAAGUAUAUAUUUGUUCUUUUUUGUCCAAAUAAAGACGAUUUCAUAAGUAUAAUAUUUUAUACAUGUUUCCUUACACAGACUGGCCAACAGUACAACCACUAUCAAGCUGAGAUGAUCAUCAAAAAAUGUGCAGGUCUCCUCUAUAAUGUGUGAACCUCACCUCUCACUGGGGCCAGGUCUCUUCAUAGCUGGGUUUCACAGAGGUUACAGCAGAAACACUGAAACCAUCUUUGCGAAAUUUUGACAGCUGGACAUCUUGGAAUUUAUCAUUGCAACAGAAUGGCUGCAUUUACAUGGUGGCAAUGUUGCUGUCGCUUUGCAAGCUCAAGCUGGAAAAGGAUCUUGCACGGGAUCACUGUUUCCCCCAGGCGUAUAUUUUGAGUAGCUUCUACAACAUGAAUAGUGAUUUCUGACUUUUGAAAAUAUGUUGAAGAAUAUUAAUUACCAUGUAAUAAAGUUAUUUUUAUUAAUAUAAUCAUGAAUCAAAAUCAUGGAUCAAAAAAUAUAUCAUGAAUCAAAAUCAUGAAUCAAAAAAGCCAAUGUAAGGGUUGUAUCUUUUAGAGGACACAGUACAGGAGCUCUUUACAGACAUAGGCACUUGUGGAGAGAUGCACCUGGCCAUGCUCCCACAAACCCCAGGGGUCCUUUUGGAUUUCAGGAUUCCUUUAAGAGGACUCCAGUGGAAGAGUCUGAGAAUCUCUGUUGAGUUGAUUUCCGCAUUCUUUCAUCUCCCUUAAACUUCCUGUAACUGAAAGUGACUGAGGCAGAUAUCAAUGAAUUAGAGAUUUAUUUUACUAAGGUUGAGGACACACUUAGGAAAAAGAAAAUCGAGUCCAGAGGUAUCUGUGACCUGUGCCUUUCCCCAUAGAGGGUUUUUGGGAAAUCCAAUAUUUAAAGGAGAAAGAGCAAGCAGGAAGGGAAAAAAAAAAAAAAAAAAAAAAAAAAGAGGGAGGGUAGGCACUGAGGCAAGUGGUUACUUUCUUGUUUGAGGCUCUCAUUAGCACUCAGUAAAUCUACAGUUUACAUUAGAUAAAAGAGGCAUGUGAAAUUACAGCUUUAUGUUUGGGAACAAAAGAAAGGCCGUUGUAUGUGACUCAGUUCUCAAGCUUAACGUUCCCUUUGGGGUAGUGAGUUUGGGGUCCUGAGAUUCUGUUUUUCCUUCACACUCCUUUAUGAGGAUCCUCUUAUCACAAUUUGCCAAACCCAGCUUUUAGCACACUACCAUGUUUCUCAGGACAUAAUAAAAAAAGACAUGAUAAAAUGAAUUCAUAGUCAAGUUCUAGAGAUAACAUUUGUAUAAAGCAUAAUACAGAGUAAUAAAAAAACAAAAUGUCACACAUUCCCAAUAUAUAUUUUUAUUUGUAAACAAAUAUUCUGAUGUAAUUUUUGCAGCUUGUACCUUCCAAGGAUCAUUCAAAUCACAUCAUAAAUGUAACUGAUCUUGAUUUCUGAGUGUAAAAAAGAUAUAUAUAUUAUAUAUAUUUAUAUAUAUUUAUAUAUUUAUAUAUAU
rnacentral:lncRNA from 10 species